UGGAGUGCAAUAACCGCUCGGACUGAGGUGUUGUGAAGUGAGAGGCAGGCACUGACGGUGUCGUGCCCCACUGAGCGGCCGGCCCCAUGCACGCUGGCGGCUCCUCUCCAGUGGAAGUGAACUUGACAGCGUAGUAGGUCCCGCCCGACCUCGAUUCCGAUUGGCGGCCUGACAGCGGCAAGCACUAUUCCAAUUGGAUGCUACCUAAUAGGUGCUUUCUGAUUUGUUGGAAGCUUCUGCCAAUAACGCAGCCAUGACGUUGCUUCCGCCCUUGCGUUAGGUUGAAGUGAAGACCUUGGCCUGGAGCAGUGUUGAGAGCUGAUUUGGGUGGCACUGAUGUCUGGGUCUUAAAGGACGAAAUGAUGCGCUUAGACAAAUUACUAACAGACCGGAAGUGUUUUGUAAUUGCAAUACUGAAAAAAGUUGCAAGUGCACCCAAUUACAAUGUUAUUGACUGCAGUGAUUGAAAGACUCUGUGAGAUCCGCGUAUAGAUCUAAUUUUGAAAUGCUGAAUAUGAAUUCGUCGAGCGAGUGACCUGAUAUAAAGCUGUAGAAUGCUGAAUAGCUAGCUGAACAUAAAUUGCAUCUUCAAAGAUUAGAAACUUUUGCCCCACUGGGAAUUUAAAGGGUUGUGAUUUUGACUGCAAGCCAGCAGAAGAUAUUUAACAUUGACAUAUUCCUGUAAAGUUGUCCACCAUCGUCUACACACAUUUGAAGUUUGCAGAUCCGAUUGAAUAUGAAUGUUAAAAAAAACACACUUGCCUGGAAAAGAUUGGAGAAAGCAUGUAAACAAUGUCAUUAACACAUGGAGUAAAAUUGCAGACUUGAGAAAGGAGCUGCCACAAAGUACCUCUUUAACCACUGUUACUCUUUUACUGCUGCCACUUCAAAUUAUUCAUGCAGCUUUACACCCCUGUGCUUUCUAUGCAUGAUCAUAACUCUGUUUUUACGCAAAUAAAAGCUGCAACAUCCAAUUGAAAUGUUACGGCAUGAAGAUCUUGAAACCUUUCAUCAAGCAAAAUGUUCCUAAUACAACCUAACUACAUGAUGCUGCUUGCCUUUUUUGACAAAAAAGGUUUGGUGCUUUUAAUACUUAUGCCUGGAGCAGAACCAUGCUACUGAACACAGUAGUGCAUAGUUGGUUUUCUACCCUGAACCUCUUGCUGCUGACACAUUGAGCCAGGAACAAAGUUUCAUAAAAUUGUCAAAUUCCAACCUGAACAUCUCAGACCUAGUUUAAGAUUCAAAACAUUGAUAUUUAUGGUUGUAGAAAGCAAGCAGGAGAGUGGAAUUAAUCUAGGUAGCCAUAGGGAAGAAACAUUGACUUUGAUUUUAGGAGCCAUUAUCCUGUCUUUGUGCUUCACCACUCUACAUAAUUAGAGUUGAGAAUGCAGAUGUUGAGAACAUUUAUUGGGGAUUAGUAAUAUAAAAUGUUUCUUGAACUGACUACUGGUGAUUUAAAGUUUCAAAUAGAUUACAGUUAUGUAAACUUUAAAUUAUUUUUGUUUUUAAUAACCAGAAUGAACUGCUUUGUAAUAUUAAGCAUUUGAGGAUGAAUAGAUUAAAUAAUUUUCUUUUUUGGAACUGCCUGGUAUCUUGUAAAUUUCUUAUUAUGGAUAGUCGGAAAUUAAUUUUCAUUUUGUAAGACUUCGUUUGAGUUAGUUUUCUAUAUAUAGAAAAUGUAAAACGUUUCAAUAAAGUUGCCAACUCGUGUUUGAACAACAAUGUUUUAGUAUUUGGUUGCUGUGUGCCAAAUAAUAAUCUGCUAAUAUGGUGUAUUGAGGCCAGCAGUUACAUGGAUAAUACACCAUUUUGAAAAAUAAAUCCACACUUCAGAGCAUGUUGAUUAUGAAAUUAUUUCUUUAAGGCUGAAUUAGAUACAGUUGAGAGAGGGCAGCCAAUUUGUUCACCAUCAGGAUUAAGAGGUAUGCAAAUCAGUAUAGAGAAAUGGUGGGUAUACUGAGUUAAGUCAUGCAGCAUGUUUUAAUUCCAAUGAUAUUACACUCACCAAACGAAAUAAAAGCGCUCAGCUCAGAUUUCUAUCAGCAUUUUUAAUGUAUUUGUAUAUUUGUUUUGCAACAGUUUCUGAAACUGGAAUAAAAUAUCAAAUUUAUGUUAUUUUCAGAGCAUCAGUUGAAUUUAAAGUUUGGAAAGGGAAGUGUUCAGGAUUUGAUGUUUUCAUAUUUAUUUAUAACAUGCUGUAAAGCAGGUUUUAGAUUACUUACAGUGUGGAAACAGGCCCUUUGGCCCAACAAGUCCACUCCGACCCUCCGAAGAGCA